rnacentral:rRNA from 1 species
ACUGAAUAGAUACCCUGGUAGUCCACGCCGUAAACGAUGAUCACUCGCUGUUGGCGAUACACAGUCAGCGGCUAAGCAAAAGCAUUAAGUGAUCCACCUGGGGAGUACGGCCGCAAGGCUGAAACUCAAAGGAAUUGACGGGGGCCCGCACAAGCGGAGGAAACAUGUGGUUUAAUUCGAUGAUACGCGAGGAACCUUACCUGGGCUUAAAUGUAGAGUGCAUUGGUGAGAAAUCAUCAUUUUCUUCGGAACUCUCUGCAGGGUGCUGCAUGGUUGUCGUCAGCUCGUGCCGUGAGGUGUCGGGUUUAAGUCCCAUAACGAGCGCAACCCUUAUCGUUAGUUGCCAGCGGGUAAUGCCGGGGACUCUAGCGAAACUGCCGGUGUAAACCGAGAGGAAGGUGGGGAUGACGUCAAAUCAGCACGGCCCUUAUGUCCAGGGCUACACACGUGUUACAAUGGCCGGUACAGAGGGCAGCUACCUGGAGACAGGAUGCGAAUCUCGAAAGCCGGUCUCAGUUCGGAUCGGA